UGAAAUUCCGUCACUAAUGAACAGCGUGUUCCAUUAAACGAAGGCCUCAGAGGGCUGUGAGGUUGGCAAACCCCACUUUUCCUUUGGCCGUUCGUGCGUGUUUGGAGGUACCUGCUGGGGCAUGAGGUGAAGGUGAGCUCAACCUGGCGCAGCUCCCCGGGGAGGCUCCUCGUGUGUCCCACGGCCACCCCACCGCUCCCCUCCAGACCCUUCUGCUGAGGAGAAGCCAACUGGAGGAACUGUGAAGGCCCAAAGUCUGUUGUCAAUGGGACUGCACAGAGGGAGAACUCAGACCUUCUGCUUUCCAGGGAUCCCCCUGCAGAUCGUGCCGUCGGACUCUCCUUCCGGAGCUGCUGCGCUCACCUAGAAGCUGUUAGACCUUUGGAAAACAAGAGACCUCGCCAAGGAGCUGUGUGGGACAACCAAUGCUUCCCUACCGUCCU